rnacentral:rRNA from 1 species
GCCAGACUCCUACGGGAGGCAGCAGUGGGGAAUAUUGCACAAUGGGGGAAACCCUGAUGCAGCGACGCCGCGUGAGCGAUGAAGUAUUUCGGUAUGUAAAGCUCUCUCAGCAGGGAAGAAAAUGACGGUACCUGACUAAGAAGCCCCGGCUAACUACGUGCCAGCAGCCGCGGUAAUACGUAGGGGGCAAGCGUUAUCCGGAUUUACUGGGUGUAAAGGGAGCGUAGACGGCGACGCAAGUCUGGAGUGAAAGCCCGGGGCCCAACCCCGGGACUGCUCUGGAAACUGCGUCGCUGGAGUACGGGAGGGGCAGGCGGAAUUCCUGGUGUAGCGGUGAAAUGCGUAGAUAUCAGGAGGAACACCGGCGGCGAAGGCGGCUUACUGGACGGCAACUGACGUUGAGGCCCGAAAGCGUGGGGAGCGAACAGGAUUAGAUACCCCCGUA